rnacentral:sRNA from 1 species
AUCUCUUGGUACAUGAGUGGCUACCACACUGGCUACUAUAUGGGUUUCAGACAAAAUAAAAAAGAAGGAAAGUGCUCACAUACAAAUUAAGAAUGGAAAGUUGGUGACAAGUGUUCUGCUGUUUGGUCAGAAGACGGCUGCAUUUACCCAGCUACUAUUACGUCCAUUGACUUUAAGAGAGAAACCUGUGUCGUGGUUUAUACUGGAUAUGGAAACAGAGAGGAGCAAAACUUAUCUGACCUACUUUCCCCGACCUGUGAAGUAGCUAAUAGUACAGAACAGAACACUCAGGAGAAUGAAAGUCAAGUUUCCACAGACGACAGUGAACACUCCUCCAGAUCGCUCAGAAGUAAAGCACACAGCAAGUCCAAAGCUGCUCCGUGGACCUCAUUUCUUCCUCCACCACCCCCAAUGCCAGGGUCAGGAUUAGGACCAGGAAAGCCAGGUCUAAAAUUCAACGGCCCGCCGCCGCCGCCUCCACUACCCCCUCCCCCCUUCCUGCCGUGCUGGAUGCCCCCGUUCCCUUCAGGACCACCAAUAAUCCCGCCACCCCCUCCCAUCUCUCCCGACUGUCUGGAUGACAC